CAGGAAGGUCCACCCAGUGGACUCCCUGCCCCAGGAACGCAGCCCCUGGGGAGAGAAGCCUGACGUGGACAAGGGAGUGUGCAGCAGGGGCAGAGCUGGGGGGAUGGCCGUGUGCCUGAGAGCCAGAUGAGGCCCCGGACAGUGUCGGGCCCCGGGAGCCCAGCAGGUUCCCGCCGGACCUGGAGCAGCUGCAGGGUCUCCCGGGCAUUGGGAUUGUGGGUGAUUCCUACUGGAGC
rnacentral:lncRNA from 1 species